CUCUUUAUUACGGAGAUAGAGAUUCCUUGUAUAUAUUUAUGUAUAUAAAAGAAAAAGGUUUAAUGAUUUGUUAGGUUUUCCCACCGAUUCUAUAAAAAGUGAUAUUCCUCAUCGCAAUCGUCUUCGACAACAGAGGUAAACUAAUGGGGGCAGAGGCGAAUCAAGCAGGGCAUUGUACGCAACUGGAAACGACGCCGGAGAUUGUUGAUGCCUUGCUCGAGGCUGCUAGAUAUGAUGAUAUUGAUGACAUUAAAAGCUUAGCAUCUGAAGGGGUUUCUGUUGAUUCCAAGGAUUCACUGGGCCGAACAGCGCUUCAUAUGGCUGCAGCGAAUGGGCAUCUUGAUAUUGUAGAGUAUCUUAUCAGCCAAAGAGUGGAUCUCAAUGCUUCUAACGAGGAGAAGAAUACACCUCUUCACUGGGCUUGCCUCAAUGGUCGUAUUGAGGUGGUUAAGAAAUUGAUUCUUGCUGGAGCAAGUUUAAGCACUCUAAACUGCCAUGAACGGACUCCGGUAGACGAAGCUAUUAGUCAAGGAAAAAUGGAUGUUGUUGAUGCAAUUAAUGCAGCUGUAGCACAACUGGAACUUGCUGGUGUCCAAGUUUCUUGAUGCAGGAAGACUGGAAAUUUGAUUAUUUUGGUAUUACAGCUACAGGACGUCAAAGAAGACUGGAAAAAGUUUUUCUUUCUUGGUCUGAAGAUUUUGUGAAGCAUCUUGGAUUUUGCUUGAAACUAACCUAGUGAUGCAAAUGGAGGAAUAAAGAUAAAGAUCCUUACUAUUCAAUCUCUCAAGAUUCAUCUAUG
rnacentral:misc_RNA from 1 species